rnacentral:lncRNA from 1 species
AUGACUUGCAGUCGAAAUUCUCCUUCCAGUCUGCAGAAUGGAGGUUGUAGCAUUCUGCACUCCUGGCAAGGAAGCUCCGUCUGUCUCCAAUCAUGGUUCUCCAUCUCUCGCCCACAUGCAGUACGGGUAACGCCAUUCUCCAGGCGUUCGUACGGACACCAUGGAAGAAAGGGUUUGAGCGAUGGAGACAACGGCUGGAAACUCCACCGACACAACGCGACUACAUUCCAGGAGCAUAAGGAAAUUGUUACAGAAAAGGUGACAAUAAUACGUCUUGUUGGAACGGAGAACCAAAAUGAAGCAGCUGUACAUCAGAGAGAAAAUCUGAACUAAGAGACUGAUAACAAGUAUGCCGAGUAUUUUUUCUUGCUUAUGGGUGAAAAAGCCAGCAAAGUCUCUGUUUGAAGACAAAGCACAUAAUAAUAUGAUCAUAAAAAUCUCCUAAUGGGGACUGUGUGAUGCACGGUAAAUGUAUUCCUUUCAGUACGUUAUUCGCUCUGCGUGCAGGCUUUCAGGGUUCCCUCAAACCGUGCUGUGGAUAUGAUAGCAUCGGCGCAGCUACAUGUGGGCAAAGCUGGACCUCCUUUUUCCUUACUAUUGCUAUUAUUUGUGCUCUUGUCAUUUCGUACUGAUCUCAUAGCAACUCCUGAGUGGUUCAGACAGAAAAGUCACCCCAUUUUUUGUGAAGCAGUAUGCAGACAUUGCUAAGGCACCAUCUGUGCCCGGAGAAAAGCUGCAGUUGAUGGAAAUGAAGUGACAUUCAGAGGGUGGAGAAAGGAAUACAGCAAUUAUAGGUGGGGCUGGUAGUGUUACCUGUUAUUAAAGGCUUGUCUGACACUUCCCAUUUUAGGGCCUGCUUGUCGUGGUUUUUAAGUACUUAGUAAACUUUAAGCAUUAGUCUUUACCUAGACUUCUACCCUUGGCUGCUGCUGCUGCUCAGGUGUUAUUAAGAGGUUAAUUUAUUUCAUUUGGACAUCACGGCAGGAAUGGAGUUGGAGGAAGGAGCAGCAGCUUUAAGAGCUUACAAAUAAAUGUUAUCCUUUUACCUUGCA